rnacentral:lncRNA from 1 species
AAAAAGAAAGGAGUGUUGUCGGAAAUAGAGAAGAGGAAGAAAAUAAAAGAGAAGAAGAGGAGAAAGAAGAAGAAAACAAUAAUAAAGGAGAAUUAGUUGAAAAGGAGUAAGAGAGAAAAGGUAGAGAUGAGAAAGAAACGAAUGAAGGGCGAAAAAAUCGGAGAACAAAGGAAGAAAAAGGAAAAAUGAUAAAUCCACCAGUACAAAAC